CUUGGUCCAAUGAAGCUAUUAGCAAACAUCGCUCUGCUCUCUUGGAGGUUGUGUUUGUUACCAAAAAUCUUCUGAAUUAUCAUUUCCUACUGGAAAAACAGCUUAAGCUUUCAGUGAAGUAUAUGGUGAUAGAUUUGGAGUCUGACUUUUGGGGCUAUGUCUACUUAGGUGUCUUGGACAAGCAGGAUAAUUAUGGACCUGGCUUCUGAAGUCAUACUUCGUGGAUCUGAGUUGGUUCUGUCAUUGGGUCCUCAGAAGAAAUGGACUUGAGGAACAUCAUGGAAUACAACAUACACCUGGACCUGACUUAUUUUUUAUUCUAAAUUAUUUUAAUUAAUCAGUUUACUUAUUUAGUUAGUUUUGGGCCAGGGUCUUAUCUGUACACUUCAAGCUUGCCUUGGGUCCCAGUGUGGACCAGGCUGGUCACAAAAUGUUGAUCCUCCUGCCUCUACCUCCUGAAUGCUGGGAUUACAAAUAUGUGUCAGCAUGCUGGAGUAGACGAGUUAAGUGAUGAAAACCAAGGCUUUAUCCUAGUGUCAGACUGAAAUGAGGCCUUGGACACCCUUAGGACUGAGUGCAAUAAGGUCUGUCUAUAAAGGAUGCAGCCUUUUGUUCAUCAGGCGGGUUGCAUCUUCCAAGGAUUUUUCAGUCUUACCCACCUUAUUUAUUCUUACGCAGUGUGACCUGUCGACUCGCCAUCAAAAGCUAGAAUGCUGUUUCCAUCCCCUUGGACAUGGGGAGGCUCAUGACUGCUUUGACCAGAGGUAUAGUGGGUAGAAGUAAUGUUAUGCCACUUUACAAGUCUGGGUCAUAAAUGAUUCCGAUUUUUGCCUUAUUUUCUGGAAUAUUUGCACCUGAUACUGUGGAUCAUUGUUUGAGAAACCCAACUACCAGACACAGCCAAAUUCUUACAAACCCAAGUCCCAUGGGUACAGGGGCUUUAGUCAACAGGUCAAGCCCCAGACAGUUGUUACCCCCCUCACUGAGGGUGUGAACAUUCUGUGAUACACGCCAACUCCACUCUGCCCAUUCCCAAGAUCCAGGAUCCAUGAACUUCUGAAUCUGAAUCUUGAGGUAGUAAAUGGGCCAAAGUGGGUGACUGAUAAACCUCUGAAGAUUCAUUGGCUCUCUUCUCACAGCGAUAUGAAGAGACUUGGUAAUGAAUAAAAUAUGAGCUCCUGAGGAAGGCUUGUAAAGGCACUUUUAGCUGCUUGGUGGUUGUCUUGCUUCCCUGCUUAACUUUGAGAUAGUACAUCUGGUGCCUGUCUAAGCCCCCGACGCUGAUGCGCAGCUGUGUAUGAGUUUGUACUGCUUUAUUUCUUGUAUUUCAUUUGAUUGGCUUUGUGUUCUCUUAUGCCAUUAAAUAAAACUCAAUAAAUGUGAUUGUUUCAAUUUG
rnacentral:lncRNA from 1 species